GGCAAGUUAUUUUUCUUCAAAAUUAUGACAUGUCAAAAAAAUUCUCAAAAGUAUAUAUUUUUUAUAAUAUUGAAAAAUCAUUGGAAUUUUCAAUUAAUUUAGGUACCAAAUUCUAGCUCAUAAGAUGAGCUUUCUAGCCAAACUAUCAAUUUACUUUGAAGUUAUGUGAUGUCAUAAAUAUACUGGUCAAAUUUAUGUAACAUCCAAUUUAUUGGCAAAAAAAUAUUAAAAUUUACCUAAAAUGAAAUGUCACACUAGUCUAUUGAAUUGGAAAUGUUUGGCAUUGCUUAAAAAGCCAAACUAAUGACUAAUAAGGUCUCUCUAUUCUUAUCACACUCCCAAAAA
rnacentral:lncRNA from 1 species